GAUGAACGCUGGCGGCGUGCUUAACACAUGCAAGUCGAACGGAAAGGCUCCUGCUUGCAGGGGUACUCGAGUGGCGAACGGGUGAGUAACACGUGGGUGAUCUGCCCUGCACUUCGGGAUAAGCCUGGGAAACUGGGUCUAAUACCGGAUAGGACCACAUUUUGGAUGGUGUGGUGGAAAGUUUUUCGGUGUGGGAUGAGCUCGCGGCCUAUCAGCUUGUUGGUGGGGUAAUGGCCUACCAAGGCGUCGACGGGUAGCCGGCCUGAGAGGGUGUACGGCCACAUUGGGACUGAGAUACGGCCCAGACUCCUACGGGAGGCAGCAGUGGGGAAUAUUGCACAAUGGGCGCAAGCCUGAUGCAGCGACGCCGCGUGGGGGAUGACGGCCUUCGGGUUGUAAGCUCCUUUCGCUAGGGACGAAGCGCAAGUGACGGUACCUGGAGAAGAAGCACCGGCUAACUACGUG
rnacentral:rRNA from 1 species